rnacentral:rRNA from 1 species
CAGCAGCCACGGGAAUACGUAGGGUGCGAGCGUUAAUCGGAAUUACUGGGCGUAAAGCGUGCGCAGGCGGUUCGUUAAGACAGAUGUGAAAUCCCCGGGCUUAACCUGGGAACUGCAUUUGUGACUGGCGAGCUAGAGUAUGGCAGAGGGGGGUAGAAUUCCACGUGUAGCAGUGAAAUGCGUAGAGAUGUGGAGGAAUACCGAUGGCGAAGGCAGCCCCCUGGGCCAAUACUGACGCUCAUGCACGAAAGCGUGGGGAGCAAACAGGAUUAGAGACCCCCGUAGUCCCUGUCUCUUAUAC